AUAAUGUUAAAGAUCGAUCAUAUAUUCCUAAGAGAGAAAUAUGAUCAUAUAAUUCUAACCUUUCACAAUAUUUUUGACAUUUUACUUGACUUUCUAGACAUAAAAUGAAAUUCUGAUUCCCAAGGGUUUUUUCCCCCAGUAUUUAACAUUCUUUUCGGGCUAGGUUUUUCUCCAGUCUCCCCUCUCCUUUACUACCAGGUUAUUGAAGCUGUUCUUUUAAAACUACAAGGAAGAAGAAGCAGAGCGGUCUCGGGAAAUGUUGAAAAAGCAGAACCCCAUUCAUCACAGCACAGGCUGAAGAGACCAGCUCUCCACGCCAUUGCCAGAAUUUCCAUCACAGGGUUGCUGAAACAAAGUGCCACAAACUGCCUGGCUGAAAAUAACAGGAAUUUGUGUCUCACCGCUCUGGACGCUGGAAUCCGACAAUCAAGGUGAUGUCAAGGUCAGGCUCUCUCUGAGACUCGGGGCGGAAGCUGUCCUGCCUCUUCUUUGGUUUCUGGUGGGGCCAACGGUGCUCACGGAUGCUCCUGCAGGCUUGCAGAUAUAUCGCUGCAACCUCCGCCUUCCACCUCACACCGUGUUCUUCUUGUGGGUCUCGGUCUUCAUGUGGCGUUCCUCUUUGUUAUACGGACAACGGUUGUAUUGGAUGCGGGGCCCACCCCAUUCCAAUGUGACCUCGUUCUGAUUAAUUACAUCUGCAAGGACCCUAUUCCAAAUAAGGUGACAUUCUGAGGUCCUGGGGGUUAGGACUUCAACAUCAUUUUUGGAGAAAACAGAUCGACCUUUAACAAUGCCCAAGUAAAAUGGUUUCAUUUUUAGCAAGUGGACGUUCGAGUUCUCUAUUUGAGGCAUUUUUCUCGAGGAUUUCUAACAAUAGCUCGUGUUAUAGGUUGCAUUUAUUUUUCACCAUAAUGAUUUUUAAAAUGUCAAAGCCUUGGCCCAACGACAUGGGUGAGUUUGUUUUUAUUGUUAGAAAGGAUUCUAUGCUACUUUCAAAUGUCUGCAGGUUUAUUUUUAGCAGGACAGGAAAUGCAUCUUACGCUCAUGUUCAUUUGUAGGCUGCCCCCUUUUUUGGAGGAAUGUUAUUGUUAGAAAACCACAUUCAGUUUGGAGAUGAUUUUGGAUUGAGCACCACGCAAUCUAAGUUAUAAUUAUACUACUCUCUGCUAUAGAUUUCCCAAAAUCAACUUUCUGUUCAUCAGAAUUUGAAACUUUUCAAAUAAUGGCUCCAUUUGUUAUUCACAAUUUCGCGGCCCAGCAGCUGCCUUUGAUUUGUAUUUAAGUGAAAGGUCAAGAGGUCUUGAUUUAACCUGGGGUUGAAUUGAAGGGAGCCUGUCCAUGUAGUGAGAUGUAAAGUGAAAAAUAAAAAGCAUAAAAAUGCUAUGUUGUGACCACAUGAUACCAGAGUCAUUCUUAUUUGUUAUGACUAAACAUCCAGUUAUUUCAAAGGGAGGGAAAUAGUUCAAUCCAGACCUUACCUAAAUUUUUCAUUGUUUCAGCAGAGGGGUCUGUGAUUUGGGGGAAGUUUACUUUUUAAGUGGAGGACCUUUCCAUCAGACAAGCUGCUUGUAUUUGUCGCUGGCGCCAGGGAUAAGCUAGAAUUUCAGAAGAGAGCAAGGUAAUUCCAUCCUAAUGCCGUAAUGAGGGUGACAGUGAGGUACAGGAAACGGUGGGACUUUCCACCUAAAAGUAACCGCCAGCAGUUAUAUUGUUGGGUGGCUGCGAUCUCCAUCUCCAAACGGGAACCUUUGGGGCGGAGGUUCUUUGACCUUCCUUGGUGUGAUUGCCUGGGGAAAAGUGAUCAUUUCACGGAAUGGUAUCUGUUUCUCCAUCCUCUUCUUUGAGAGACUUCUGAAUGAAUAAGGUAUCGCUCUCACACCCCAAACCAACACUUUAACCCUCUGUUGAAAUGCUAUUUAAAGGAUGGUUGCAUGAGGAUGGAUCCUAUUUUUGCCUAUGACCAAAUGCAAUGAGUCUCAAAAAAUAGCCUAGAUUUCUUUCUGCUCUGCCUUGAAUGAUGACUACAAACACCCUAGCCUUUCAUGUUGGUAAGCGCCACUCUUAGGUUCAGUAGUGUAUCUGAUGGUGACCAGUUACUAAGGUGCCUGCUGUGAGCCGGGCACAUGUCAUGCGUGUGGCACGUCCCCUCUCAUUUAACCUUUACAACACCCAGAUGAGUUACAACACCCAGAUGGUGCUCCCUAUGUCACCUUCACAGAGAGGUGACAUGGUGGUAUGGAGGUAGCCAGGAUACACCGUGUGGAGGCUCUGACCAUCCAUCUCUUUGCCUUAGGUCUGGGAUUACUUGCAGAUGAACCAUCUGCCCCCUCUCUUGGGCUUUCUGGAGGGAUGGACAAAGUACAGUAUUAAGGUUACAGCUUCUCUCUGUGCAAACAGCCCUCUUUCCGUUUUAGGAAGGGAGUUGUCUAUGCUGGAGAGACCCCCAUGAACCAAGGAGCAGCUCAAAGCGAACUUCCAUGUCCUUCCAGGGGUCUGCGGAUGGGUCUGCUCCUGCUUUAGCAUCUCUGCUCUCCUCCCGGUCCCAGGCUCUGAUAGAAGCCUGAGGGCCUCACUUCCCUUGCUCCUGGACUUGCAGCUAGGAAUACAUUUAAAAAGUCUCCUCCCUCUAGAGGAGCACAAUUCCAGCUAAGCCAGUCGUCCAUAUGAACCUUCGCAUCUUGGGUUAUCGGUUUUCUACUGCAAGGGACGCACCUCGUUCCUUGGAGGGUUCCAUGGGAUUUGUUGAUGUCGUAAUUGAUUGCCCAUGUGAUUUGGAAAGACGGACUCCGAGGGUUGAAGCAGGAUGUAUCCUUCCACAUUUUAAUUGCUCCCAAGAAUGAUCAGAUAAUUGCCUUCCUUUGAAGGAUCCAUGAGAAUGUGCUGAAGUGUCCCAGCAAAACAAAAGAGAGUCUCUGAGAGGCUUCUAUUCUUGUCUGGCUCUGUUGACAGCGAUUGAAUGCUCUGGGGAAGAGAAAAGCCUGGCAGAGAGCCUGGGCCCAGAGGAACAUGAGGAGAGCCCGGUCCCCUCCGAGAGACGUUAGUGUGCUGUGCUCAUUAGAAGGAGAAUGUGCCACUUGUGCUGCCUUCUGCUCACUGCCCCUCCUCCAGGGAGGACUUGUUGAAGGCAUGAGAAAAUAUGAAGCCGGACCCUGGGGCUGGCAGCUGCCACCGCACCACAGAGCCUGCCUCCGGGAGCCAGGGUCGGGCCGACCUGAGCACACACUUCCUUCCGAGCCUUGUCACAAACAUUCCUGUGAGAUGGGCAAUUCUAAAAGGCUUGGCUGGCUUUAAAUGGAGAUUGUGAAAAGGCUUAAGCACUUUUGUUAAGUCAGAUGUGACUCAUCUCCUGCCUGUCCUUAUGACCUGCUGGUCCAAACAAGUGGAUGUAUUGGUGAGAAAAGAAAAAGGAAAGAAAAAGGAAAAAGAAAAGAAAAUACAACCUUGGUAUUUACUGUU